CCUAUUUUUAUUUUUUAAAACAUUACUAGCUUGGUCAAACCCCCUUACUGCCAUGCAAGGGAGAUUUUUUCCUCACUUACCUUUCUCUUCUUUCUUUUUUAUCCCCUUUUUUUCUCCCCUUAUUCUUUUUCCUUUCCUUUUCUUUCCUAUGUUUCACUCCUUGCCUUAUUCAUUUCCCUUUGACUUGCUAGCCAUCCCAUGUAGCCUAGGAAAUGAAUUCAUUUUUUUCUCUCUUCAUCUUUUCUCUCUUCCCUUUUUUUCUCUACUCCUCCAUUUGAACCACCAUAGUUCUUUUCUGUCGCCACCUUAAUAUCUUUUAGCCACCACCACUCCGCAAUCAACCACCACCAUACCACAG
rnacentral:lncRNA from 1 species